rfam:Caenorhabditis elegans chromosome IV
GCGAGAGUAUUGCGUAGGCCUUUGCUUCGAGAGAGAAGCUUCAGUUCGCAGCAAUAUCCUCCGCAAAACUUUCCC